AAACUCUGGAGAGAGGCAUGCAUGUAUGCCCACCGAAGGGGACGGCGAGUUCUUGCGCCUAAGCUCUCAGGUACCGUGACAGAUGGGGUAUG
rnacentral:ncRNA from 1 species